CAGUCGUACCUUCGGGUAAUCAGCCUUUCGGGUGCGAUUCUGUGGGGUGUGAAGAGUUAAACGCCUUCUCGUUUCGCAUAUUCGUGCUCUUGGGUGUACUUGCCCGUGUGGUUGGUUAACAUCAAUUUUGGACGCCAUAAAAUGACUGGAGGAAUGUAGCUUUGAUCUCGUAUUGAAGUGUUAUAGCCUUCGGUAGAUGUGGUUUUCGAGAUUGAGGAUUGCAACGGAUACCCCUCGGGGCUACCUAUCUGAUCUCUGAUCGUUGCUCUGGUGCCGAAAGCUUGCUUACGGUUAUCAAAGUCGAUGGUCAGUAGG
rnacentral:rRNA from 1 species